CUCCCAGGGCAAUAGUGAAGAUGAAAUAAGUCAACAUUUAUCACUGGAGUCUUAGAAUAGCAGCUGGCUCCUGCAUGCCUCAGCACACCAGAUUGGUAUCAGUAAAACUUUAAUGGAACACUUUAUAAAGAAACCACCUAUAUUAUCUUGUUCAUUACUGUUUAUAUAUGAAUUGGGUAGGUCCCUUAGUCCCAUUUUUAUCAUUUUUUUUUUCUUGCUGAGGACUGAAUCCAGGGCUUUCUGCAUGCUAGGCACAUGCUCUACCACUGAACCCCAGUCCUCCAGUUUGAAGGGCAGCAAACUGAGUGGUUGACAGGUCUGACUCCCUUUAGGUCACAGAAGUGGAACAGAAUGGAGCUGGGAUCUACCUUCAGAUGCCUGUGAGUAGGUUGACACAGCUCUAACUGGAAUGUACAUGAUAAUCACAACAUUUUUACUAAGAAUGCACAUUCUUGCACCUCCUUUAUCAAAAUGUUAAGUCAACAAAUCUCUCUGUAGCCCAGGAACCUGCAUCCUAACAGAUGCAGGUAGUUCCCCGACUUAGAAAAAUACUGAUGGAGCUAGAUGAGGUCCUUCACUCCCAGUGACUAAGGAGGCUGAGACAGGAGGAUUGCAAGUUCAAAGCCAGCUUCAGCAACUUAGUGAGACUCUGUCUCAAAAACAAACAAAUCAACAAAAAACCAAAACACUGAACACCCUUGUCCUUUCCACCAACUCAUCAGGAUGCUGCCUUUAAUUGAUGAAAUAACUUCGUUGACCCCUUAUCAAUUAACACACUUGAUCAUUCAUUCAACCAACAUGGCUUGAAUAACCCUUAUGCACCAGGCAUUCUACUGGGCACUGAAAGUUACCAAGAGGAGGAGGACACAGCCUCUGCCCUGGAGGAGUUUAUAGUUUAGCAGAGGAGAAAAACACAUACAACAAAAAUCCCAGCAGGGUACUUGGUUAUGAAGAUGAAAUUGGGCAUUCAAUCCAGUCUGGGUUGGUGUGUGCAGUGGACAUCUGUUAUUUUUGCCUGCUGAUCAUCAUUCUCCCGUCUGGUAACAACAUCCAACAGUUCCUUUGGCGAAGCCACCCCUCCCCCACUCUCAGUCCAUAUGGUUAAGGUGGGAGCGGUUUCUUCCCUCCCUGGAGGACAUGUGACCCGGGCCGGGCCAAUCAGAGCAAAGCAUCUUCCUAGCCUGGGGCAAAGGCUCAGGAUUGGGCACCUGACCCAAAUCGGGCCAAUGAGAUGCCAAGCCAGGACUUUUGCCCGAGGAGAAGGCUUUAUAAGUAGGUUGACUGUUGAUCUGGAACUCUGGUGUGGGCCUCAGUAUUAGAGAUGGACGGCGAGAGGAAUUGAGGACCCCCGUGAUGCAAACUGGAUGCACAGGGGGACUUUGCAAGAACUUGCUUUGGUAGCCUCCCUGAGACUCUUGAUACUGGGCAGGAGAAGUCCCAGGUGCCUCUGUAGGGAAAGAGAUAUCUAAGAUGUCAAAGAGCAGCAGCUUUUAACCGUGUGGAGAAGAAGAUACCUCGGGCAGCCGACGUGAAAAUCUAGGAGGAGAAAUAACUGGUGACGAGUUGAUGGCACCUAGAUGUCAUUGCUGUGGCUAAGUGCAAUAUCAACAGAUCUGACUUUGAAACCAAGUUCCGCUUCUGCGUAGCUGUGGGAUCCUGGGCCAGCUAGAGGCUUGCUUUCCUUGCGCCUCGUGAGGAACAGCAAGGAAUCCACCACCGGAGGCUGUUUGGUCCAUUCUGUGCAAUGGGACCAGUUAACCACCUGAACCCUUCCAGGCAUUCAGUGUCAACGGCUCCAAGUGAACUCACCCAGCAUUCUGGAAUGCUAGCCGCAAACGAUCAGGCCCUGGUUGCGGUAGAAACUGCUGUCGCUGGGAGCUGGUGCCAGACCUGCCACCCGAGGAAAUGACCCAGGAGGCUUUGCUCUGCCUCCAUGCUCUGCUUAUGUCAAGUCUACUUGCCAAUCACCCACUCUCACUGGGCCUCAGAAGGCAGAAGGGAAACAGUGCAGUUCCAGCUUCAACAAUGCACGGCCAAAGGGACACGCAUGUCUCUUCCGCAAGUGCCAAUUCUCGACGUGAGCUCCCUAGCGCCGCUUCUUCCACAUUAAUAAGGAAAAAGUUGGACAGAAAAAAAGGGCCCUUGUCUCCUCCAGGCUUAGCCAACACAUCCAUCCUGACACUAAUUCAGUUUUAUUUUCUUUGUGUAAGAAUUUUUCUGUUUUUACAUUGAUUUUUGUGCUACUGGCUCUAAGUUUGGUAAAAGCCCCAAUCCAGACUCUACUGAUGGGGGCAAAAGCUCUGGCUAGUUGAAACCAAGCUGAAACCAAGCUAUGUAUAUAAUUUUGGAAAAAUACAGGCGUAUGAAUAUGAUUUUCCCCCAUAUUUAUGUAUGUAAUCUUUCCCUAGAAAACUUGUGUAUACACAUACAUACAUGCACACGUGAGCAUGUGCUCACAUACCCCGUUAUAAAAAUAUUCUGGGCAGGAGCUGUUAAUAAAAUUUCCAUUUUAACUGAG